rnacentral:rRNA from 2 species
AGCUCCAAUAGCGUAUAUUAAAGUUGUUGCGGUUAAAAAGCUCGUAGUUGGAUUUCUGCUAGGGACGAUCGGUCCACCCACUGGGUGUGUAUCUGUGUCGGCCUUGGCAUCUUCCUGGCGAACGCAACUGCACUUGACUGUGUGGUGCGGUAUCCAGGACUUUUACUUUGAGGAAAUUAGAGUGUUUCAAGCAGGCGCACGCCUUGAAUACAUUAGCAUGGAAUAAUAAGAUAGGACCUGAGUUCUAUUUUGUUGGUUUCUAGAGCUGAGGUAAUGAUUAAUAGGGAUAGUUGGGGGCAUUCGUAUUUAACAGUCAGAGGUGAAAUUCUUGGAUUUGUUAAAGACGGACUACUGCGAAAGCAUUUGCCAAGGAUGUUUUCAUUG